CAAGCAGUGGGAGGGGAAAGUGAUCUCUGACCGCGUGCCUGUUGAAGAAUGAGCCGGCGACUCAUAGGCAGUGGCUUGGUUAAGGGAACGGAACCCACCGGAGCCGUAGCGAAAGCGAGUCUUAAUAGGGCGAUUGUCACUGCUAAUGGACCCGAACCUGGGUGAUCUAUCCAUGACCAGGAUGAAGCUUGGAUGAAACUAAGCAGAGGUCCGAACCGACUGAUGUUGAAGAAUCAGCGGAUGAGUUGUGGUUAGGGGUGAAAUGCCACUCGAACCCAGAGCUAGCUGGUUCU
rnacentral:ncRNA from 1 species